CUUCCUACAGAAGAAGCACACAGGAAAGGCAGUUACCAAGCGGGUUCCCAGGAAAGCGGACCCCACCCAGUGCUGCCCAUCUCUCCCCGGCCCCCACUUCCCGCCUGAAGAAGACCUGAAGGCUCCCCAGCGCCGUGUCCAGAUCUGCUGCGUUCCUCAACUGAACAUAGCUAAAAUGAUCCUACAGUGAAAUUUAUAAACAAAACCCCCGCAACCCAAUUAGUAAAGAUGAAAUCUCUGAAACAGAAAAUAAAACGAUUUUAAACACA